ensembl:lncRNA
UGCACCGGAAUAACCUAACGCGGAUGCUCCCAGUAUCCCUGAGCAACCACGCCAGCAGCCCCGGGUUAGAUUUAUGUGCACCGGAUUAAAUGACCCUUUCCUGAGUAGAAAGGAAUCAGCUGAGCAGGAAACAAAGAGCGCAAGGGGAGAGCAGAACUUCUGUCACCCUCUGCUCCUGCUCUGCAAACUGCAGUGUGAGGUGCAGGGAGGCAGAGCGGAACGGCAGAGUGAGCAAAGUGCCCACGGCCAACAGGGAUGGGCCUAGAAAGGAACAAAGCCAUGCCCAGUGUCACCAGUAUGAACACAUCGCCUCUGUCCUCAGCACAGGUAGAAGUGUGUGCAUCUCACCAAGGGGUGGAUGUCCCCUCCGUGUGUGUGUGUCUGUGCGUGCUUUCUGAUGGGUCACAUCAGAGCGCACUGCGGUGCACGGUACCCAGUCUGGCAACUUACCGAUGCCAUCCACAUUUAAUUAGUAGACGUUUCUUCUCCGUGUGCAUAUUUACUCAAAUUCCUGUUCCUACGGCAACCCAGCAGCAGCGCAGCGCCGGGAGCAGCCUGGAAAGGCGCAGCGAGGAGCGGCCGCUCCACGUUCAGAUGGUGCAGCAAAGCCGGGCUCGGCCGGGGCAGCGCCACAAAGGCGGCUCAGAGCAGCUCCCGCUUCAUGGAGCCCAUUCACAGUGUGCCCAGUUUGUGUUUAUUCAUGGGGACCGCAGCACUGGGCUGUGGGAGACGACUCACUUAGCGCUGAGCUCUCAGUAAUUGGCUAUCAGCUCAGGUAAGGGAUUUUUUUUUUCCUCUAAUAAUCACAUUUUCAUUUUAAAAUCCCUACCAAGGGAAUGGCCGGGCAGUAUUCACCCCACUCCUAUUCACAGGCGCUCUCCUUGCCGAUGUGGUCGCAGUUGUAAAGCACACAGAAUAUCCGAGUUACCGAACGGCACCGCAGCCGUUCAGAGCAGAAAAUGCUCCUUGGAAGAGGACUCACAUUGCCGCUCUGAUUUGCGUUCCUACCCGAUUUCCCUACCCGGUGUGAGCACCGCGUGCACCGAGCGGGGGGCUGAGAGGAGGUGCACACCCGGCAGUUCUGCCCUUCCCCCCUAUUUUGGUUUAUAAAUGUCCCAUUUUUGGACUCGUGGAGGAAAAUGAGAAAUAAAUGUAAGUAAGAAAAAAAGGCCGUUUUUAAAUUAGAGAAAAUCACCUCAUUUAAACACGUUUUAAUGCUUAUGGCGCUCUGAUUCUUUUGCAUAAAGGUACAUUGUAAUCCUCCUGGCAGCUUUGUUUUCAAACCUGUUGGCACAAUGUAACGUGAGAGCAGAGCUGCUCUGCAGCAUACCUACAAACAGUGAAAUUAUCAGUGCAUUAUGAAGACCUCUGAAGCAUUCAUUUUUACACAGAUACCCCAGAUGUGUUACGGAUUUCAGAGGCUAAAUUGUGUAUGUAUUUUUAUGGGUGGACCUUCAAGGCAUUCUUAGGGGAAGAUCUCCCCAAUCAGCAUAAUAAGGACAAAGGCAUCAGGAAGGCUCUGAAUUAGCGGGGCAGGGAAGGAAGGGAAACUCUUCCCACCUGACCUUUCAGCACCAUUUAUUAACUCUGGGUUGCAAGCAACAAGUUUAACGGGGGGCUCUGCAGGGAGGGGCGGCUUUGUGCUCAGACUUCCGCUGCAGAAAGUAUUUCGGUAUCGGUGAGCUGCUUUGCAGACCCCUGCGCCAGGCUGCCCUUGUGCCUGAGCUGAGCUUUUGUCUCCCUUCCACCAGCGGUCCUCUUUGUGUCAGAGCAAAGCAUGGGAGUCGCACCACGCGUGACGCCUGCAUGGCAGCACACACCGAGCCGCGGAGACGUCACACAAGCAGAUGUGCCACAGCCCUUUGGAGCAGUGAGCGAACGAACCAGUUGCACAUCUGCACUGAGCAAGCCAAAGCAUGAAUCCUGAAGGCACGAGUGGAAACAAAGAGGUCAGUGCCUUCAGAGCCCCCAGCUCUGUGCACACGGUGCCGGCCCAUUGCCCACCAGCAGCGUGGGGCUGCAGUGGGGGCUGUGGGGCUUCAUGCUGCAGCUGCCCCAGAGAAGGCCAGCAGAGACCCUGCUGGUGUGCAUCACCAUUGGAAACAAGAGGGGGAAUGGGUGUUGCUUAGCAAUGCACUACGGCACGCUCCAGUCCUGGGGAAUGGGCAAAGAGCUGUCAGAAACCCCAGCAUUAUUAUUACUGUUAUUGCAAGAGCACCCAGAUGCACACGGCGCUUUGCAGACAAAAGUAAUCGGUGGGCCUUCAGCCUGUGGAGCUGCAGUGGCACAGGAUGCUGCCCCAGGCAGCAGCGGACACGGGCUGUGGAGCAGAACAGCACAGCAUGGCCCCUUUUGGCCCUCUCCCUGCACCCACUGAUGGUGUGGGAAGGUUUCUUUCUGAGCACGUGAAAGUGAAAAGUGAGCGCUGCCAAACUUCACUUUGCAUCUCUCUGUCCCGGGCUGCUGAAGCUGCAGUGCAGCCGCUGGUGCACGGUGUUGAUCUGAGCUGGUGUGCACCUGAUUGCUUCGUUACCGGGUCGGCUGUCACAUCCAUAGGAGCAGUGUCACGUUCUGAAGGACCCAUUAACACCUGUUGUGUGUGGGGAGGUAUCCUGCAGGCUCUGCAAACCGUGCCGGCUGCUUGCUGUGCGAGAUGGACGUUUCCUUCUGGUGUGGCUGCUCUGAUGUACACACAGACACCUCGCUUCCAAAGGCAGACACACAGCUGCUGUUGCACUGGAGCAGCCCUGGUAGUGGGUCAUUGUACUGCUCUGAGCAUCUCUGGCACUGGGACCCAAAUAUAACACGAGCACUUGAUCCGGCACACAUUUUGGAUAACAGAAAACUUCCUACAGCUUUUAAUGAGUUCUGGACCGGGUCCCAGGUCGUCGUCGUGCUGUUUUGUGAAAUUACUGAGAUUUAUGUCCGGCUAUUUAAUAUCAGCCUGAAAAAAGACCCCAAAGCCCUGCCCCCGCUCAGCAACGUGUCGUGCUCCCCAGCCAAAGACUUUAAUCUUUCAUCUUGUUUGGUUUUUUCCCUCUGCGCUGAUGUUUUUUUUUCCUAACUCGGCCACCUCAGCACAACGUUUUGCAGGCACCUGGCAGAGCGCAAUGCAGCAGCUGCAGGCAGGCCGUGGCUUCCAGGAGGUCAGACGGUGAGCGGUGCAGGGCAGCCCUCCCUAUUGGGGUCCGGCAGUGCCCAUCUCCAGCUGGAGCCGCCGCGGAGGGGCCGUGCUGUGCCGGGGAGCUCCGAGCCGAUCGUUUUAAUACCAGAGCGACACCAAAGGGGGUCAAGUAAAUAAAUAUGCAUGCCUCACUAGUUCAAAAUAAUAAAAUUCCAAUGUGUGCAAGCCUGCUUGUUGAACAUAUGUUUGCGGCACGGCUAAGCCAUCUGGCUCAAUGUCAAGCAUUUACACCAACUGCAGUCUUACACUACCUGACAGCAGAAAAGCUUUAUUCCCCUGGUGUUUGGGCACAAAUGGAGAAAUAUUAUUGAAAUGAUUAUCUGCAUCAAGACUCAGAUUUGGUUUGACAUUUAGCUGGCUCUGUUUAAUCCAAAGGGUUGUCUGAAUGAAUAAAGAGAAGGGUUCCUCCAGAAGAUGCUGCGAGCGGCCGGGAGAGCCAAAUGAUUAAUGAGAGCCGGAGCCGGGCGCACCCUGCCCACCUCCACCCGCAUCGGGAAUGAGGACGCACUGCAGCCUGGUGGGAUGCGCACAGCCACAGUUCUGGGCAGAAGGGACUGGGAAGGACUGCUCCACAUCCCGGCUAAAUCCAUCUACGGGAAGUCCCAGGGCGCAUCCCUGCAUCAGAGCCGGUGCUGCAGGAGAGGAGAGCGUCCCGUGCCGUCCUGGUGCCGUGCAGAGGGUGCGUUGCAGGUCUGGAGAGGGUCCAUCCCGGCUCCUUUGUAGAAAGGUGUGCCGUGACACAGGAACAAAGGAAGAACAAGAGCGCGAAGUUUGGAGCAAGUUAAUAAAAAGCGAGUGGGAGCAGGAUUUGUUUGAACUCACAGGGCUCGCACUGACAGAGACAAAUCUAUCCGAGGAAUCAGGCGUGCUACAUCUGAAAAUAAAAUGGGAUGGAGCUGCAGAGCACGGGGUGAUGAGCAGCGUUACGGCCCAGAGAGCCGCUCUGCCUGGGAGUGCUGAGCAAAGAGCCCCUCCCUCCCCCUGGGAACGCACUGUACCAUUUUAUUCCCCUUUUUCUUUACAUUUCCACUUCCGAUCGCUGAUUUGGAUUUAAAAUUAAUUUGGUGAUUUGAGUUUAAUAAGAAUGUUAGACAUG